AAGAAAACCUGUUGAUCCAGUCUGUUCUCACCCAAGUAAGAAUUAGAUCCCUAUGCUUUCCUUCUAGAUUACAACUUUUGUGUCAGAUAAGACUUAUAUUCGACUCCUUGAUGUAUCAUUUCCUCAAAUCACUCAUUUAAAAGUGAACAAAAACGUCCCAUGUUUAUCUUCUUGAUUCCAUUAUUGUAUUAAACCUAUUUUUCAGCUCUGUGUGCGAGGCGGUUUCUGAGUCUCCUCCGUGUUGAGCUAACCAAUGGCAGUUGAAAAUAUUUCCUGUCUUCAUUUCUCAUAAUAAACGUCUUCAGAAACCACCAGGAACAAGAGGGAGAGGGCUGUGCUUACACGGAACCGCAAGUAAACGCUGCGUUUUGGCCAAAUGGGGACAUGCCGGGUGUUAUUCCAGGUGGACAUCAUCUCUAUUUUGUUUUGUGAGAGAGAGUCGAAACGGGCGGAAAAAUGUGACACAUGCCAGUUUUAAACAAAAAGGGUCAAUUGCUCUUGUAAGAACAGACUGUGGAGGCAUGCACAUUGUUCUGACCUGAGAGCAUAGGGAAAUGGAUAAACGUAGAUGGUUUAGAAGCUCUUUGCUUGGUUGCCAGAGUAAACCGCUCCCACAGAAAGGGAGACACACUUUUGCAUGAAAUGGAACAGGAAUGAGUCUUCAGGGGGCGAGGGAAUGCAGGAAAUCUCUGCUUUGAUACCUGGUGUCAAGUUUUUGUGAUUUCGUCGACCGCAGUUGCUCGUACAUGCUGUGUUGUUGGCGAGACGAAGCUUACACAAACUCCAACCACGCAAAACAUUUCUUCCUCCUCGCUGUAAACGAACAUAAUCCCAGUUACAGUCUCACCGCAAAGCCCUGCAACACAACAGGUCUCGUGUUCAGCACUAUUGUUCAGAGGUUAGUCUGAUCCCUUUUCCAUUUUACCUCCAACAUCCAAACAGGCCACAGCCACAUUCAGUGGAUCUCCCUGUUUGUUUAUUGGAGGAUAAUGCCUGUGAUUUUCCUCCCUGGAUCCCCUGUCUCAGUCCAUCCAAGAGUCACUCGCACACACGGUAACAGCAACAGGGCUGGACAAGCUGCCUGCACCUCAGCUGUUUCCCAACAGCCUAAAUCCUGGUAAUUGGUCGCUCUCUGAGCUCCUGAGACAGACCGACUAAACAGCUGCUACAAACAAUGAGACCCCUUCCAGAGCUGCUGUGGGUCCAAGCCAGUGCACACUGCCAACACGGGAUCAAAACGAAGCAGGAGAACGUGUGGAGAGCAGAAUGAUACGCACGCUGUCGGUUUGUUUUUGUUGCUACAUGGAGUUUUGUUAACUUGGGACCUGCCAGCAGUACCUGCCUGCCUUUUUGGCAACAUGAGAGACAUUUUAUGUGGUUAAAAGUAUCUUCAUUGACUCUGCCAGUCCUCCCUGCUGCUUGUGCUGCUCCCCGCAUCCUAACAGAAAGCUCUGGAAAAUACAAGACCCAGCUGACAAGGAGCAACUUUGGGAUUCAUUUGGAGUCGUGUUCCUGGCCAUGAAUACCCAGCAGACAUGGAGCAACAUCAGCAUUCAUUUGGAGUCGUGUUCCCGGCCACGAAUAGCCGUUGGAAGGACGGAGAGGAGACCGUUCUGUGAAUCAGCAUUACUUACGAGGGACAUGCAGAGAUGGCAAGCACAUGAAAACAAAGCUGAACCGCCAUGCACUCUGGGCCAUGCUGACAAGGACGACCCGGACAAAUCUCCACCUAAAGACCUGCUUCCUCAUUUCCCCUGAUCUUUAAGUAGCUUUGAGUAACCAGAGAUCAAACAAUGUCCUCGUUCAGGCCAUUAGACAGACAGACGUACCUGUGCUUGAACCCCGCGAGCUAUGUGAUUACAAAACACUUGUCACGCCUCUGUUAUUCCACAUAAUCUGAUUGUAAGGGAAUCCGGCGACAAAGUGGAUACACAGUCCGAAUGAAAUGAAACCCGCGUACAUGUGAAGUGUCUUGUGUUUGUGUGACCUGGGUAUGAUUUCCUUGGAGAGAGCUUUAUUUGACUUUAGCUUGCUGGUGGGAGGGUGGGAGAAGUAGAGGUUGGCUUUGUGUUUUCAAAUUCAAUUGUCCACUAUACAGUCAAAGAGGCUGAGCGUCCUGCGGUUUGCAGUAAUAAACCUAAACUCGGGUUACAUCCAAGGCACAAAGGACUGCAAAUGGACAGGGAAAAACACAGCGAUGUGGACCUCUUAAUAGGGUUAAGUCCUCAAGCUUCAAUGACCCCGCAAGACCUAAAGAAAGCGCCAAAAAGUUCAUCCUCUGAACUCUGUCCAUAAACUCUGCUGGGCUGAGGUCUGGCCUGUUGGAAAAACAGCUUCUACGAAGAAACAGCGGAUCUUCCAGGGCCUCCUCGUCUCUUCAA